CCUACGGGAGGCUGCAGUGAGGAAUAUUGGUCAAUGGACGAGAGUCUGAACCAGCCAAGUAGCGUGAAGGAUGACUGCCCUAUGGGUUGUAAACUUCUUUUAUAUGGGAAUAAAAUGUUCCACGUGUGGGAUUUUGUAUGUACCAUAUGAAUAAGGAUCGGCUAACUCCGUGCCAGCAGCCGCGGUAAUACGGAGGAUCCGAGCGUUAUCCGGAUUUAUUGGGUUUAAAGGGAGCGUAGGUGGAUUGUUAAGUCAGUUGUGAAAGUUUGCGGCUCAACCGUAAAAUUGCAGUUGAAACUGGCAGUCUUGAGUACAGUAGAGGUGGGCGGAAUUCGUGGUGUAGCGGUGAAAUGCUUAGAUAUCACGAAGAACUCCGAUUGCGAAGGCAGUUCACUGGACUGCAACUGACACUGAGGCUCGAAAGUGUGGGUAUCAAACAGGAUUAGAUACCCGUGUAUUC
rnacentral:rRNA from 1 species